rnacentral:misc_RNA from 1 species
CGAUUCUUUGCUGCUGCUGCUCAGCGCUCAGUCAGUCAGUAGUUCGCGGCAGUUUGUGGCGGUUGUGUGUGCGCGGCGUGGUUUUCAUUACAUCCCCCCCGGCUUGUACAUUAUUGCUCAUCUUGACAUUUAAUUGAUCUAUUUUUAAUAUCGGCCGAAUUCAGCGCGGUGCUCGCGGGCGUGCACGCUACUAGAGAACACUUCCUAUUAAUCAUCAGCUUGAACGGAUUAGUGCGGACCGAACUUGAAGUCGAAGCCGAGGACAUGGUCUUUUCCAGCUACGGCAACUCGUCGUCGUUCUAUUUACCGCUAGACAGCGACCAGUCCGUACCGUUUUACAAAAACGAGAACUCGCUGUUCUCCCCGCAGCCGCCUUCUUCGGUGGUCUGCCGACGUAACCAAGACAACGCCACCUCGACCAUGUCCCCCAACGAGCAACCCUUUGGCAACAACAGCCACGGCACGGUCGUCGUCGACGCAGUAUGCCACGACUUUCAACCGGUGGCCCAUCUCAGCUCCAACGGUUACUACGGUUACGUGCCGCCGACGCCGCCGCCCAAGAUGAUGUCAGCCGUCGCUGUCAACGCGGGAACUGUCAGCGCCGUCCAAUUGGAUUGCCAACCGGAGGACGCCGCGAUGGAUUGCGGUGAAAUGGAAAAUUUCCAUCAACUGCAGCACCAGCAGCAUCAACGAAAGCGCAAAGAGUACGGCGAGGAAGCUACGACGGCGACCAAACGACGAAAGACAUGGCUGGAGGAGGAGCAGCAAGCUGCAGCUUUCCCACAGUCCUUCGGCUGGAACCAGCUGCCUUACGCUUACCAGCACCAGCAGCAACAAAUGGAUUGCGCCACCGCGGAAGUCGCCCCCAUGACCGUUGGUUCCUGCAAUGGUUUCCAGAUCUCGCCAACUUCCCCUCCGGUAGCUAUGGUCCAACCCACGGUCCAGCACCAACAAAUGACCCCGAAAAGUAAAUAUCUCGACAGCAGUCGUUGCAUGAUGUCUCACAUGAUCUAGGACGAAGGACAUGACGAAGAAGAAGAUGUAGCUAGCCGAAUUGAACUCGUGAAAGGAUCCUCUGUUGGUGGACGGUGCUAGUGGCAAGCGUCCCCUUCUGCUUGGGCGGUGGAACAUUGCCAUGCCCACGACGCGACCCAACGGCACCGGAUGUUCCGCCGUCCGGCAGUUGUCGGAAAAAUUGCACCACCAACAGUCCGUCAGCUUCGGUGGCGGCAGUGGCCAAGAGCUCGAAGAUUUGUUCGUCAGCUUGCACGGUUCCGGUUUCUUUUUGGCGGGCUAACUUUCCUCACCUCUAACCUAGGUUAAGGCUAUCGAAGUACCUUACUAACAAAUCCCCCUUAAAAGCGCAUUGGUAAUUGAGCUUACCUUUGUAAAUAGUGUUGGCUUAACCCUUGAAUUAUUUUAUUCGGUUCGAUAUCGAAACCAACUUCAGUUCAAACAUUCGGUACACAUAAUUUGACCCUCUCCCCAUUAGGUUAAGGUUUUUAGUGAGUUAGUAAAACACACACACACACAUGUGCAACUAGCAAUAACUAUUUUUUACUACCGUGCAUGUAGUAAAAUUCAAACGUCUAGAAAAGGUAAACAUAACUUUAUAUAUCUAGUUCGUAGUUUUGACCUUUAUACAAUCGUCGCAUUAACUACACUAACAAUGUCGUCGCGCUUUAAAUGAGUUUAUAUGAAAAGAAAAGGAAGAAGAAAUCAAUCAGCGAGUGCUAACUUUACGACUUAAAUGAAGUGACGUGGAAUAACAAUAUCAAAUAUAGCAAACUAUCUGUGAAAUAAAACAAAUGUAAACAUGA